UCUGUUGCCUUCACACAGACCAACCCCGAAGACAAAGCAGCUCUUGCUAAGCUGGUGGAGGCCAUCAAGACCAACUACAAUGACAGAUAUGAGGAGAUCCGUCGUCACUGGGGAGGCAAUGUCCUGGGUUCCAAGUCAACUGCUCGCAUUGCUAAACUUGAGAAG